UCGUUCAUUUGGCGGCAUAUCCAC
rnacentral:siRNA from 1 species